rnacentral:ncRNA from 1 species
GGCCUCGUGCUGGCGAUGGUAGGCUAGUGGCCAUACGCGUCUUGUAAUUGGAAUGAGUACAACGUAAAUACCUUAACGAGGAACAAUUGGAGGGCAAGUCUGGUGCCAGCAGCCGCGGCCCAAUAGCGUAUAUUAAAGUUGUGGCAGUUAGAAAGCUCGUAGUUGAACUUUGGGCCUGGUUGGCCCGUCCCGAUUUUUUCCGCGUACUGGGAUGCAACCGGGCCUUUCCUUCUGGGUAAACCUUGGGCUCCCUGUGGGUCCUUGGCGAACCAGGACUUUUACUUUGGAAAAAUUAGAGUGUUCAAAGCAGGCGUAUUGCUCGAAUAUAUUAGCAUGGAAUAAUGGAAUAGGACGGUCGGAGGUGAACUUCUUGGAUUUAUUGAAGACUAACUACAAUGUCUGGGUAAACGCGAGCAACGCUACUCGCUUCGCUCGUAUCGUUGCGAGUGGCAUGUCGGAGCUCAACAGUGAUCAAUU